CCCUGGUUACAGGAGUAAAUACAAUUAGUGCAGCACAUUAUGCACUGCCUUCCUAUUUGUCGGUGCAUUCACCUCAGUGCAAGCAACACAAUGCCUGAGUGCCACUUACGUGCUACUGCCAACUCCAGCUGCCCCACGUACCCGAGUCAGACUUGAGGAGGCAUGCCUUAAAGAGCACAAGCACUGUGAGUAAAGCCUUCUGUAUGUGUCUGCAUUGUGUCACAGUCACAAGAUGAUCACUGUAUACGAUAGAUCGUCGCUGUGUUCCCUGAACCUGACACAUACCUGAAGUGCCCGUUGGCCCGCAGCCAGUGGAAAGUUCCCUUUCUCACCUGGAUGCAGUCAGAGCGGUGGCCAUGUAAAAAAUGGCACCACCUCCCGCCAGGUGUGAGCGGCCGAGAACAGCACCUACCUGGCAAAGCAUUCGAGCGUUGCUGAGGAAAUGUGAGGCAGCCCAGCCCUGCGUACGUGCUGCCACAUUCUGGAAGAUGGAAAACAAAAGCUAAAAGAGGAUGGUUAACCUUUUCUAAUUGUCGCAGCACAGGACUAGUUGCCAGGAGGAACUUGAGCGCUAAUCCUACUUUACUCACCAUGUGACCUUUGGGUAAGUUACCUAAUUACCUUGUCCUUCAGUCAGCAGAGCCUGUAAAGAGCAGGUGUUCCAGUGGAAGCCAGGACUGCUGAGCCAACCUGUGUCUUUAGGAAAUAACCAGAGAAUAAAGCUCGUCACACUUUUUAAAAGGUGGAAUUGAUGCACAGAGGUAAAAUGUUCUGCACAAAGUUUAAUCCUGCCCUCUAAUCUUCUGAUGGGGCACAGGACUGAGCCCAGACUAUACGAUUGCAUGAAAUAUGUAGGUCACUCCAGAAGUAGUGCCUCCUAUUCAUUUUCAUGGAAACCACAACAGAUACAAAGAGCACAAUAACAGUAUUUGAUAGAGCAAAUUCUUAACUACAAAACAGUACUUUUCAACACAGUCACCACCAUUAGCUCUGUGUUUUCACCAGCAAUGAACAAGAGCCUGCAUGACAUGCUCAUAAAAAUCUGCACCAGCAGAAGUGACCCACUGUUUCCCAGCUGCUACGAUGGCAUUGUUGCUAGGAAAACGUUGCCCACACUGUCCAGCUUUCACCGUGCUCACGUCCACUGUUUGGUCUCCGUAAACAUUCAGCAGUCAUUGGUGAACGUCAGUGGGUGCCAUUUUUUUCCACAUGGAGGAAUUCAGUGACACACCUUUGCUUCUUACGUACUUCCACGUCAGAUGCCAUUGUGUCAGACUGUUCCUCUGCUGCCAUCUGUCACACGGCAACAACAUGUAAUGGAAUACUGGUGGGAAGGUUCAACCUCUGCUGCUGUACCACCAACGUCUGCCUCUAAUGUUGUGGGCCAACCUAUUAACACAGAAGGCAUUACUUUUGGAGCUGCUCUCAUAUCAUUCUGGAGGGCAUGUGGUGUUUGUGGAGGAGAGGUCUAGUCAAAUUAUAACUGAAUCAGCUCUGUUCUGCUGGAAUUAAUUUCCCCCAGCUGGGCUGCACGGAUCCUCUGCUUCCCUGGCAGCCCCGUGCUGCUGCUGCCAGGAGCACCCGCCAGGUCCCACAGUGGCUGCCUCCCGGAGGAGGUGGGAUUUCCCCUCUGUGCAGUUCCAUUCAGAAGGAACUUUUGGGCUGAGAUAAAAAACCUCAGCACAAAGAAGUGCUUACAAGCUUUUUCCCCUUCAGUCUCUUCUCCUUCCUGGGUAUAUUUUUUUAAUUGACUCUUCUUAACAGUAGUUUCAUCUCUUUUCUUCCUCAAAUUAUGUGCUAUUAGGUACGUAUACAGUUCUCCUUUUUUUCCAGAUUCUUCACGCUGAUGUAAAAUGAAAAGAUACAAACAGCCGUCCCCAGAGAGUAUUCUCUCUCUUGUGAAAGAUCUUUCACCUUGCAUUGUAAAAGCACUUUACAGAACUAUUUGUUCCCUUUUUGCAUUUGAUGUCGAAGAAAAUGCCAGUGUCUCUCUGCUUUGGAUUACAAACACAUCGUUUAUUAUUAUCUGGCACUCAGGAGGCAAUCCUGCCUCUUGGAGUAGGACCUGCUUAUUUUUCUGGUUUGAUCUCUCUUUCAUUUAAAGGAGGAAAAUUCCAGGGAGAUGCAUUGCAAAGAGCCAAGCUGCACUCAUCUCCUCUUCUCAGCAAGUCUGGUCCUCACAGUCAUUUGCUACAAUGGUCCAGGUAUGGUAUUCAUUUAAACCUUCCCUUUUUAUAAUAUACUAUGAAUUCAGAAGCUGAAAUGCAGUCCUCUUUUGGAUGAAGACAUUUUGAAACCAGAUUUCUAGAAUGAGGUUUUGAUCCCUUCUUAUUCAAAAGCACCCAUAACCAUGAACGGUCUAAUUGAAACAGGAGGCGCUUGCCACGGACUAAGGAACAAUUCAAUGGGAUUAAAGCAAUGCAGAAUCUGGGCUGUUGUGAUUAAAUUUUGCAAAUAUUAACUGACAAAUCUUGGCACAAAUCCUAGCCAAUAUGUAAUGGAGCAGUUCCCCAGAAGAGAGCUGAGCCUUGCCUGAGGUGUAGCAGCAUAGCUGUUUUGACACGUCCUUCCAUUGUCUUCUCUUGACAGAAGCGAAAGAUUUUGGCUAAUGAAGUGCUCUUUGAGGGGUAUUAAGGUUAGUUUGGAAAGAGCAAUUUCAAGGGAAAAAGUCUGCAAUGUGACAAGAAAGCCAGACAGCAGAAGUCCUUCUGCCCUGAAAACUGACUCUAGGAGUAAAAACCUUUCCCACAACCCAAUGAGCUUCUUAGGGCAAUUCCACACCAUACGAUGAAGUGUGCUGCAAGGAUCCCAGUGCUGGCCAUAGAGCUGGCAGCAGGACCAGGAGCUCAAGAGCUGUGUCAGCAUGGUCCAGUGAAUAAGUCCAUCCUCCUUGCUUAGAAGCCAAUAUGCCGUGAUUUCCAAAGUGAGUUCACCUCCCUCCAGGCUUUGCACUGUGCUGAAUGUACAGACAAGUCUUCCUGGGGCUUGCUUUGGACUUUUCGCAAGUGCAAUAUUACACAUACCUGCAUGUUCCUUCAGCUGAAGAAUAAGCGUUGGGAAAUGGAAAGGAAGAAGCCCCUGUUCUGUGACAACAGGACAAUGCCAUUUGUCAUUUGUCCCUGAGUUUUCUACUAACAGACUAUUGAGAGGAUGUUGUUUGUCUUUUUUUUUUUUUUUUUGGCUUCAGCUGCCUUUUAGGUUCCAGGAUGAAUCCGAGUUGCUGAUAUUCAUCUGUGAGUAUACCACUUCUCAGGGAGACUGCCAGUUUGACCCAGAGCCAAGUUUCACAGAGGUGCUGCAGCUGGUGCAAGUAGGUCAUUAAUGGUGAGGGUCUCCCACUUCGAAAUUACUCUUCUCUGUUUUUGACCUGAAAUAACCUGUUGAAUCAAUCUGUGUCCACUUGUGAGCAUCAGGCUCCAAGACAGUUGUUGACCAACUGGAGAGCGUCCAGCAGGAAGGCAGGAACAAGAGCGAUCAGAGGGCUAGAAAACAUGAGCUAUGAGGAAAGACUGAAAGAGUUGGGUUUGUUUAGUCUAGGGGAUUGAAGACGGUUAGACGUGAUAACACCCUUCAAGUAUGUGAAAGGCUACUGCAAAGAGGAAGGAUAAACUGCUCUUCAUGUCUGCUGGGGACAGGAAAGGAAGUAAUGGGCUUAAAGUGCAACAAAGGAAAUUCAGGUGAGAUGUUAAGAGACAUUUUCCAGUUGUGAGACUCAUGAAUUGCUGGGAUGAUUAGCUGUGUGAAAACACUGCCAUGGGAAGGUCUGAGCAAUGGCUGAGAUAACUAUCUGAAAUCCAGCACCUUCAGCACAGCAGAUCCUAUCUGGAGGCUGGUGGAAGGGUAAGAUGACCUUAAAAAUUUCUUCCAGCUCAGUUUUUUGUAUGAUUUCUGUUAUCAAAGCAGAAAUUCACAAAGCUGGCUCUCAAUUAUCUGGAGGGUAUUUUGCUCCUGGGCACUUCUCUGGUUUUAUGAAUUGUUGUUUCAUGGGAGGAGGGUUCUGGGGAAGUUGUUCAUCCUGAGAUCAUCUAGAAGAAAAUCCCAAAUUAAAAACACUUGAAGGGUGUUACAAAUGCAACCAAACAAAAGUGAAGGGCAGGUUUCUCUGCUGCUGUAAAAAUAAGGCUCCUUGCUGGGCCAGCUGCCCUCAUCAGUGUCCUAAACCAUCCAUCCAGUGGUGGCCAAUGUGGUGGUCUUUGCACCAAGUACAACCUGAGUCCAACAAAAAUAAACAAAUGGACACCUGAGCACUCAGGAGCAGCCAGGAAUUGCUGGGAUUCUUUAUGUAACUCAAUAAAAGGGAAAGAAACAAAACAAUAGCAAAUCCUGACGCACACAACAAUCCCUCCUUCUCCAGUUUCACAGAGAAGCAAGUUCCAACGCUGUCAAGUCAAAGAUUAAAUAAAAAGAAAAAGCCAAGAGGCACACUGCCAUGCAUAUAUUAGAUGUGUGUAGAACAACGGCAUGCACACCUUCACAGAAACAAACACUGUGAGAUGAGCAAGGGUUUAAGAUCCAGCAAAGAAGCCGCCUUCUCAGCAAGUUCAUUGAGCCUGUAUUUUUAGGCCUUACUUUUCUUUAAUCCCAUCCAUUUUUAACAAUGGAACAUUAAGCAACUGAUGCUUUCCUAGAGGACAGCCCCACAAUUGGUUAUCAUUGAACUGGAGCUCCCCAGGCUGUGGCCACCAUGAUGCUACUCCCCAGGGAGGCCAGAGUUUGGCUCAGCUGGUGUGAGCAUCAGGCUGGUUUAGGCAUUUCAGACAUCCGUGCAGAAAGCAGCUCUCCUCUUUCCCCGAGCUGAGCUCCUUUCUGUUGCUCUUCUGCAUCCUUUUUGUCCUCUUGUGUACUCUUCUGGAAUUUAGCUUUGGGAAGCACGCACCAGCCAGGGGCCAAUGAGCUCGUUCGACCUUCCACUUCAUCUGUGACAGAUUCAUUUUUAAGUGGGAAUAAUGAUAAAUGCUGAUGAGGUGCAAGAUUUGACAUUCAUAUGGGAGUGCAGAGCAUGCAAUUUCUGAUUUCAAUGAAAUCCAGAAAUGGGCGGAUAUUUUUUCUUUUAUCUGCAAAGUUUUGAAGAUCAGCAGUGCAUUUGAAGCUUUUAGCUUUCAAAGGGCCUUCUUUUCCAUUGAUUUUCUGGUUGCAUAGAACUUUAGCUCCAUCAUUUUUGUUUUGAAAAAAAUCAGAAUGAAAAAAAUCUUAAUUUCAAAUUAAACAUGGAGAGCUUUCUGUGCAAGCAGGAUCCAUACUUGGUGCUGUCAAUACUUGGGAUAUGCAUGGAACUCUUGGACUGAUCUGCUGACAUGCACCAAGGAUAAGGUUCUCCCUCUGCCUAGACUAGCACUGGCAUCAAGGCAGUGCUCAGAGAACACUGUCACAUAGUUCAGCUGACCAAGUUCAGUGUUUAGUUUUCUUUUGGAAUCUUGUUUCUGUGGAUUAAUAUAUAUAUAUACUUUUGGACAAACAGUCAUUUUAAUAUCUCGGGGUAUUCCUUCCAGCAAGACAUGGACACCUCCUUUGGUUGUGUUGUUUCAUGAAUGCAACUGAUGUGAGCGUAGGUCAGCCCCGGGUAACGCUCUGUGUGUCUGGGAUGUCCUUGGGAGCACGGAUCACCUGGAUCCCAGAUGGCUGAGGCUGAUGCAUAUGGAGCAUUGCAUAAAUGCCUUAUUGUUCCUCCUAUCCUUUUCCAGUUGCUGCUUGGUGAAACAGUUACUGAGUUCAGUUUCACUCUCUGUGCUGUACAUACAGGUCAUACAGAUGCUUUAAGAUGCUGCCGAAUUGUUCUUUGGAAAAGAAAAAAGAAAAAAGAAGGAAAAAGGAAAAGGAUAUUAAGUCUUUUCACAAACCUGCAAUUGGAGUGUUUACUUUGGGUACUGAACACCCAACCCAAGUUACUGAAGCAAGUAAUCUCCUGAUGCCUGUUGCCACACGCACCUCCAACUGCUACUCACACAGCAGCCAGACAAGUGCAGCUCAAGGCUGUAGCUUCAUUGUACUGCUUCAGAUGCUGGCUGGAGGGAUGUCUUUUUCUCUUGUUCAACAACAUUUAGGUAACUUUAGAACAGGGACACCUACAGCUCCAUCAGGUGCUCAGAGCCCUGUCCACCCUGACCCUGAGCGUCUCCAGGGAUGGGGCAUCAACCACAUCUCUGGGUAACCUGUGCCAGUGCCUCACCACUCUUACUGUAAAAACAUCUUCCUUAUGUGCGAUCAAAAUCUCUUGGUCUGCAGAAGGUCUGGAGCGUGGCAAUGCUGUGCUCAAUUUCUCUGCUGCCACUCCUGCCAGCUCUUGCUCAAGCAGAACAUCUCUAAAGGCCAAGGAGGAAUUCCGCCUGUAUGAACGUCACAAAUCUGAAAACCUCUGCUGGCAGUACUGCUUUCCAGGAACACUGAUGGGGAGUUGUAGGCUAAGCACACUGCAGGCAAGCUGUGGAGUUAGCGUGCACUAGGCCUGACACAAGGUGAAGCAUUCUGGCUGCUCUCAUAUCCAAUGUGGACCAGUCAAACUGGUAUAGAGCCCUUGACUUUGAACAAGUGACAAGGCUGCAGUCUUUCAGGUGACUAAACCAUUAUGUGUCUACCAUAAAGGCCAAAAGAAGUGAAGCCAGCUCAGGCUGUAACAUCUAAAGCACCUGAAAUUGAAGGAAAUGUGAUUAAACUGAUCAAAUGGGUCAUACCUAUGUGACCCGUGCUGCAAAGGUAGGCAGAAAAGCCCACCCCGCCAGCCUGAGCUGCAAACAGCAGCAUCUGGCAAAAGACUCCUUAUUGUAGGUAUCAAGAUGCUGGUAGCUGUGCCAUUUCAAAGAAAAACAGUGGCAUUCUUGCUUCAUUGAAGCAUGACAAAGCAAAAACGGUCAGUGUUUGGCCUGUGCCCAAGUGUCAGGAUGCCUUAUAACUGCCACACAUACGAAGUCUGCAUUUUCAAGAAACUUCUGAAGUAGAGGAAGAAUGAGGAAAGCAGGGCUAAACCAGCAGGUAUGUAUUUUGCUUGUGCAUAUUGCCAUGAGCAAGCUUGCAGGCAGUUGGGCAAGGAAGGUCGGGCUUGACCAGUUUCCCCCAGGCUGUGCCUCUGCAGUCCCAGGAGGUCCAGCCCUCCUUGGUGAGCUGGUGUGCACUGAGUGUGCAUGUGCCAUGAACCUAGGAGAAGUCCCUUCAGUAUAAAUAGGCAUCCCAGGAUAUCUGAGGACUCCAACUGACUCAAUGGCAACUAUCUCAGGUAUGUCAGCCCAUGCAACUCUUGCAUUUCCCAGCUGCAGCCUACAUAGCUGGAGAGUUAAUGGGCAUGGAGAAUCUGGCUCCCUUGAUCCCAAGUGUCCAAGGAAUGACCCAGCCAUCUGCAGGAAUCAUUACCGUCCUCUGCAAGGGGGUACAAGGUCAAACCAAUUGAACGUUGUCUAAAGAGGAUCUUGGGGAGGGAAUGUUUUCAUUACAACAGUUCAUCUUUCUUUUCACAGUUCAUCAAAAGCAGGCCUUCUGCAUACACACGCAAGACAAAUAGGAAGGAGGGGUGAUGACAGAUACUGUAGGCCCAUGGUGAUUGGGAUGACCCUCCACUCACACAGUUGAUCAAAGGCAAGUAAAACAAUCAGCCAGCCAUCAGCAACAAUGUAAUAUUAAGCUCCUAAAACACCCCAUUUAAUUAAGUCAUUAUGAUCAAAAUCUCUAUACCAGAUCUUUUAAGUUAUACACGCAUAGACCUUGCCUUAAGAUAGCAGAAAAAACUUCCGGAGGGAAAGCUGCUGUUAACAACUAUUAAUGAAAUCAUAUCUCCUCCUCCCAUCCCCCAGAUCAAUUGUUCUUUGGAAGGAUAUACUUCUGCCUCAUUUCCCCACAUGGAGCUCAGAAAGCUGGGCACUUUUCUUCUGUCUAGUGCUUUGUCAUUUAUGAUGUCAGCUUCUUUUUGGGAUGAUCCCUAUGAUGUCACAGAGCCUACCUUUGUGAACCUGCUGCUGGCCUAACAAGCCUGAUCCAAAACACACUGAAGAAAUUAUCUGGCCCCUUGCACGUGCAGUCCCAGCACAGGAGGGAUGGAGAAGAGCACUUUGCUUUCAUUGAGAAUAUAUCAAUAGGAAAGCACUUGCACUGUUCAGCCUGGUUCCUGUAGUGUAGGGAUUUCUGAUCCAGGCAAGAACAAGAUGGGAUGUAAAAUGCAGCUACUCUGGAGACAGAUCUCAAGUUUUCACUAAACUCAAGAGCAUCUUUGGAGGAUGGUUGAGACUCCUUAAAUGUCUGUGUUUGGAUAAGAUGCAUCCUCCUCUGGAAGCUUCUCUCUCUGUUGACUGGAGGGAUCUGUGAAGCAGACAGAUCUGAGAAACUAGCUUAAACUAGCUAGAUAAAUGAGUAGAGAUGAGUCCCAUCGUUUAGGUUUGUAGUAAUUACUAUAAAGACUUCAGACAGUGUAAUGAUGACAAAUGGAUAGACUUUUAAUUCCUAGAUGAAAAAUAUAUUGGUUUUGUUGAUUUAUUUUUCUCUGCUUUCAUCGUUGGCUUAAGGCAAUCUAAUUCAGUACUACCUCUGCAAGUGGUGACUCAGCCCUCCAUCAUUCAUUCCCACCUCAUCACCUCUGCACCUUGGAGAUUGUGCAGUUGAGCACUCAGAUGAGGGAACUCUUCCCUUUUUUCCUGUUUUCUGCUGACUGGAGUGUUUAGCUGGAUCAGCCUCGAGCACUUGGUCUCCCAGAUGUGUGAGCCCUACAGCUAGCACAGGAGGGGGGAAGGGAACUCAUGGGCAGGGGCAGAAAAGCAAUGUUACAUAUCUUGGCAAAAAAAUCUGACUUGGAUUGGCUCAUUCCGGUCAUGAAAACACACCUAACUCACUUGUGAUCUGGUAACACCGUAGUGAGAGAUUCUACUUCUCAUUACUGGUUUCCUGAGUCAUCUGAGCAAUGGUAAUUUCCCUACCGCUCUUUUCAUUAUAGAAGGGCAUGGCAAUUAGGAAGAGUAAAACUUGCCAUAUGCUUUAAGCCAGCCAUGAGUUCAUCAAGCACCUGAAAGGAAAUCUGUCAACGUACUGCUUGGCAUGAAGCAGAUGACUUCCGCACUUGUAGUAGCACAACAGCAUUAGCCAGCACUAGGCAGGGAAGAAGGCUCAGGGGAAGGAGCAAGGGUCUUUACCCUGGAUGUUUUGAGCCACAGGAGCAGUUCCUGGAGCAGGCUACAGCUAAAGGAGUGAUGUCCCAGAGCUGGUGUAAAGAGGACUUCUGGACAGGCUAGGCUUGUAAGCCCAUCUCUUCUAAUUGUGUAUCUUGGCAAAUGGGUUGCAUCCAGGACUUUGUAAUUUGCUUACCCCAGAAGUAGAACCUUUUAUUCUGUGUAAACAGUAGGUGAGCAUUGACCCAAAUAUCAUAACCCAAACAGUGACAUCCUUAGAAAAUCCAGAUGCAUUUUCCAAGUGUCAGAACCAAGGGAAAAAACAAAGAAAGAGAAGGGAAGGGCUUAACUAAACAAUUUCAUCUGAUGAUCCAUGAAGAAAUUCCCCAUAAAUGUCAGUGGGAGAGCUUUCUCUCAGGCAAUUUGCUGUUUGCUGGGCAUUUGUUGCCACAGAGUUCAGUCUGGCUUUAGUGACCACCCUGGCUGCGUUCCCUGUCUUUGCACUGACCAGCCUACUAUCAGUCAAGAGCAAAGCAGUGUGGGGAAGAGGCGCUGAACUUCAGUAGAAAAGAACCCCCUAAACCUUAUCAUUAAGUCUUCCUCAGGGACUUGGAUUUUGAUCAGACUCCCCAAGGGUUGCGUAAAUAACGCCAAAGCAACCCUGGACUGUGCAUUCAAAAAUAACACAAUGAACGCAGACAGUGGAAUGGAGAACACAAAUGAGCUGGUGAAAUCUUUCCUGUGAAUUGCUGAGGAAACAGCUGUCCUAGAGGAUCACGUAACAGUGAACUGGAGUCUUCUGCUCUUCAAGGAGCCAUUCAAGAUGGUAUUUUUCCUUUACCACCUGUUGGAACAGUUCAAGAUUCUUCUAAAAUCCUAACUCACUACUUUCUAGCUUGGGGGCUAGAACAUGCCUGGGGUAGGGAGUUACCUGAGCCGUGAGCUUUGCUCCGAGGAGGAGUUCAUCGUUUUUGCAAAGUUGAACGUCAUCAGAAGUCCCAGAAAACCACUCACCCCUAGGAUGAGUGCAUGAGGCCCAGAUCUGGGAGGUGGCCAAGAUGUCAGCUUAAGAUGGUUCUCACUCAUCACCACACUGUGCUUACGGUUGACUUCAAGCUUCCCAGUGACUGGAAUAAAUUAAAAAAAAAAAAAAAGUUUCAGCAACAAAACAAAGAAACAAAACAAUAGACUUGUUUUGUUUCUAACUAAACCAAAACACUUCGUGACCAUUUUUUUUUUCUUUAUUUUGUCUGUUGAAGUAGUAACUUCCACAGUAUUAAAGGCAGUGGAUGACAUACAUCACCUGUGCUGGUAAACCAUCCCACUUCUCCGAUGUUGUUCCAAGGGUUCAGGGAGGACAUCAAAGCCUCUGACCCCGUAGUUCUGCAGAAACUAACACUGAUGUUCUCCAGAAUGACUACUGAGUGCACUGCCUCAAGCUUGGUUUGGUUUUGUCUGAGGUUGCUUGGGCUGCCUCCCACUUUCUGAAAGAUCCCACUUGGAGAAGACAGGUAUCUGCAGAUGCUUUUCAGCACAAAAAAAGAUGACAGAUUUGUCGAGGUUGUGGUAAAGGGAAUGAUGUCUCCUCUCUGUGGAUGGGGCUAAUGAGAAUGCUGGCUGCUGGCAGCAAGGGACGCAUCCAGCUACCUGCCCUUUUGUGAUUGCUGAAGCACAGUUUCCAGAAGGGUCACUCAGUUUUAUUAAUACACUCUUCUGUUGUCUGCUCGUCUCAUUUGUAGAAAAGAUGAAAAGACCUAAACUCAGUGCUCAAUCUUCAAUAAAAACAUUAUUAACAUCAUUCACCUUCCACAGCUCUGCUCCAGCUGCUCCACACCAUAUCCUUUUUUAGAUACUAAUAUGAAUAAUAAUAUCCGCAGUUAGACUUGCUACGAUUGCAGCAGAAAAGGAAAUUAACCCUGCUGCUUCAGAGCACAAACUGAUUCAGACAGGACAGGUUUGCCAGCCCUGUGAGAGGGAGUUCAUACAGCCUUUUCCUCAGCAUUCAGCACCUCUGGCACCUCUUCCAUCUGGGACCUUACUUCUUGGCCUCUUUCCUUGACCUUUCUUUUGUUUUUAUUUUGCUGCAGACAGCUUUGGUAACCGCUCUGAGAGGCAGGCUGCUCACCCUGUUCCUUUACCUGUUCAUCCUGUACAUAUCCUUUCCCCAACUGCAGCUGAUUCCAGCUCUCCCUUGUUCAUCUUGGUGUGUUUGUUUUUGUCAGGUCUCCCUUCAUGCCAUUUGCAGUGAAAAUUUUUGACUCUCAUGCCUCUUCUCUGUAUUCCCUUUUCCUUUUCCUCAGCGUAACACUGAGGCUGUCUUGACACCCUGGCC
ensembl:lncRNA